rnacentral:rRNA from 1 species
UAAGGAAUAUUGGUCAAUGGACGCAAGUCUGAACCAGCCAUGCCGCGUGAAGGAUGAAGGUCCUCUGGAUUGUAAACUUCUUUUAUCUGGGACGAAAACGGGAUUUUUAUCUCAAUUGACGGUACCAGAGGCAUAAGCACCGGCUAACUCCGUGCCAGCAGCCGCGGUAAUACGGAGGGUGCGAGCGUUAUCCGGAUUUACUGGGUUUAAAGGGUGCGUAGGUGGGCUUAUAAGUCAGUGGUGAAAUCUCCGAGCUUAACUUGGAAACUGCCGUUGAUACUAUAGGUCUUGAAUUAUCUGGAGGUAAGCGGAAUAUGUCAUGUAGCGGUGAAAUGCUUAGAUAUGACAUAGAACACCAAUUGCGAAGGCAGCUUACUACAUAUAAAUUGACGCUGAGGCACGAAAGCGUGGGGAUCAAACA